GUGUGCUGUCCUUAGGUUAGUUAGGUUUAAGUAGUUCUAAGUUCUAGGGGACUGAUGACCGUAGCUGUUAAGUCCCAUAGUGCUCAGAGCCAUUAUAUCUUGUUGGUUGUGAAUCCUUCCAGCAGGGAAAGUGAUCCUAACCAUUCAUAAUACCCCUAUCCAUUUAUGAAAAUGAAAGACUCAUUUUGCUGGAUACAAGACGUAUUGGCUGUGGCACAAGAUGGGCAAAGAAACAUGGAAGGUAUGAAGAGCUUGCUGUUGCAAAAUGUUUCAAUGGGAAAAGAGUGGGUGUGCGUUCAGAGCAGUAAAUUGAUGAUUACCAGUUACAUGAUAUUAAGAACAGUCUAUGAGGCUCUCAUGAGGAAGCCAGUCAGUCUAACAAGGCAGUAUGCCACCGAUCUUUAUCACAGUACUACCUGCUAGGAUAAAGGACCUAUAAAUUUGUAGUGUAUCAAUCUUAUUGAAUCACAUUUUAGUAAACUACAUGCAUGCACUGGUAGGAUACUGAUGUAACCAAUGUAGUGAGAUUUUAAUUGUAAGUGACAUGCCAACCACAUAUCUUUUAGCCUUUGUGUCAUUUUGCAUCAAGUGGCCCUCUUCAAAGUUAAUGAAAUUUGUGUAGAAUGUACCUAAGCAACCUGCAAGACCUUCUCCCACGUUCGAGCUCUUAUCAGCCACUGACUGUUGCAGUUUUUUAAAUAAUUGCAUCAUUCACUUUGCAAAGCCUUUUUCUUAUCUCUCGAACAAUUUUUUUGAAAUUAAAGUUAUUUUCCAGUAGCUGAUAAAUAUUUGUGAAGAUAUGAAUACAAGUUUAUCCCACUAGCUUCUUCUCGAUGUUUCUGCAUGGUGGUCAGAGUUUUUGGCCUGCUUUUUAUCAGACUUUCACACAUUGUAGGUGUUUUGCCAUUCCGAUAUCGGUUAGGUGCAGACAUUUGUGUAUUGCAUGAUACUUUUUGUCAAACAAUGCAAGAUUUCAUACAUAUGUGACAGUAGUGCUUCUUGUUGAAAGCAUGCCAGAGAGUCUUCAUCCAACGGCAAGCUACUAUUUUUCUGAAUGUAGAAAUGUAUGCAAAGACAGGCUGUACUCCUUGCAAAAGACCUUCACCCCUACCUAUUCUUGUCUUCAGUACUGUUAAAAACACAAUGGAUUCCACUUCCACUUGCAGCAACCGGACUUUUAUUGAUUACAUAGGUAGUUACUUGCCAGGCUUUGUAGAUUAUGUAGUUCCUUUGUUUAAUCUGUUUAUCUGUUGACAGUAUGAAGAUGACCACUGGGAGGUCAAAACCAAUUACGACACUGAAACGCCAAUGUGAUUGUGUCCAAAAGCACAAUCAGCCACACAAUGGAUUCCACUUCCACUUGCAGCAACCGGACUUUUAUUGAUUACAUAGAUUAUCUGGUUCAUGGCUUAUUCGUGCCGCAUCUGAGUUCACGCAGACACUGGCCACCACUGCCAGCUACUACCCGUCUAGUAGACAUCCCGAAUAUGUUUGAAAAUACAAGUUGACACUAUGGCUCAAAAUUGGCACUGGAGCAAAGACGACUUGCAGCAAGCCUGAUGAAAUUGUAUGGUUCAAUGACUUUUGUCCGUUCAAAGUAUAGAAUGUGAUUUGCACAUGAGUCACCAAGCUGUUUAACACUGUACCACAUCUACACGAAGUUUGUGAAUGCUAGAUCAGUAGCUAACAACUAUCGAGGCAAUGCAGGACAUCCAAAACCAGGAAGAUAUGAACAAAGCAUCACUGUUGUACAGGACGCAGUGUUGCAGAGUCCCUCAAAAUCAGGAUACAAUGCAGUUUCAAAACAGAAAUUCCUCAAAAACAGUGAAAUUUAACCUUGGGAUGGGACCAUGCCACAUCCAAGCUUCAACAUUGGUGCAGAAAUGUAAGCAGGUGGAAUGUUGUCUUUUUUUUAACUGAACUGAUGAAUAUGUGGCAAGAUAUUCUGAAUGUAACAGCAUUCAGCAAUUAAGCCACUUUUCACACAAGGGGUUUGUGAACCAACAUAACACAAUUUUGUGGGCCACCACAAACCCACGCGCCAUUCUGGGUCAUGACUCCCCCAAAGCGAAUGUAAGGUGUGUGCUGUGAUUGCAGCUGGACCCUACUUUUUUAUACGUGAACAGUAACUUCUGACAUCUGUUUAGAGAUGCAUACCAUUGAUGAACUACUACUGUUUCAAACAAGAUGACAUUCCACUGCAUCUCGAUGCGAUGUUCUCACACUGGUUGAUUGGUCAUCAGUGACCACUGUGCUGGCCUCCACAAACUCCUGAGUUAACACCAUAUUAUUUCUGGUAAUGGGCAUAUUUAAAGUAGGAAAGUUCAUGACAUAAGUUACCUAAAGGACCAUAUACUGGUUGUGGUAUCAUCCAUUCAGAGUGAAAUGUGUGUACAGAUUUUAAAUGUUAAUCGCUGAUUUUCAAGUGUUGAAUGUGAUGGUGAACUGACUGAAUUUGGUGGUACUUAGCACUUUCAGCAUAUCAUUUAACACAUUCGAUAUAUU